AUGUUGAAUCAAAAAAAGAAACCAAAAAAGAGUUCAAAUAAAUUAUUAUCUACUGAUCAAAUAAAUGAACAGAACAAUAAAUCAAAUAAUGUAGUAACAAAAAGUAGUACGAAUAAUACAAAAGAAAUAAAAUUAAAUUUAAAAAAUACAGUUUUAUCAGUAGAAGAAAAAAAUGAAUGUUUUAUAUUAUGUAUAUAUUCUUUUAUUAGUCAAUUAUAUGAUUAUAUAAACUGUCCAGAAGAAGCUUUAAGUUUGUUAGAGGAUUGUAUGAACAUAAUUAAAUAUAAUGUAAACCUACCUUUAAAAUAUGAAUUAAUUUUUAUCAAAGGAUUAAUAUAUAAAAGAAAUGGUAACUAUGUAGAAGCAUAUAAAUGUUUGGAACAAUGUAGAAAAAAUAAUAUAGGUGAUAGAUAUAUUAAUUCAAAAACAAUUAAGACAUGUUUAAAGUGUGGUUUUGUAAAUGAAGCAAAAGAACUUGCAAGUAUUUUCACUAAUCCAUUAGAUAAUAACUUUUUAAAAAAUAUAAAUGAUACACAAUGUUUUUGGUUAGAAUAUCAGUUAGCAUUAGGUCAUUUUAAUCAUCAUCCAAAUAUUCAUUUGAAAAAGAAUAUAAAUUGGAAACAGUUAUUCAUAUAUAAUUUCAAUGAAGAUGUAAAAAAUAAAAACGACACAAAAACAAAUGUUAACAAUGUAAACGUAAUAAAUGAUAAUAGUUCUGUUAAUAAAAACUUAUUAAAUGAUAAAGAAAAAAAACCUAAUAACAGUGAUAAACAGUCACAAAAUAAUUACGAAUUUAAUUUAAACAAAAAGAUAAUGACAGAAAAUAAUAAUAUGGGAUUAUGUUUAAAAAAUAAAUUGCAAGAUUAUAAUAAAGGAUUAUUUUAUUUACAUCGAGGACAUAAACAAUUUCUUGAUAUACAAGAGGAUCAGAUGAGUUUUUAUUUUUAUGCAUUUAGAAAAUUAUUAUUAAGAACAUAUAGACAUUUAUUAUAUAUGUGCGGACAUAUUUUUUCUAGUAGGUAUUACAGAAAGUUUGGAAAAUUAUUAAUAAGAAGUUUAUUAUAUAUCUAUGAUACAGGUCUUAUACAAAUAAACGAUUCAAAUAAAAGUAACACAAAAAAAAAAAUAAAACUAAUAAACAAAAUGUACAGGAAGAUGUAG
rnacentral:lncRNA from 1 species